CCUACGGGAGGCAGCAGUGGGGAAUAUUGCACAAUGGGGGAAACCCUGAUGCAGCGAAGCCGCGUGAGUGAAGAAGUAUUUCGGUAUGUAAAGCUCUAUCAGCAGGGAAGAAAAUGACGGUACCUGAUUAAGAAGCCCCGGCUAACUACGGGCCAGCAGCCGCGGUAAUACGUAGGGGGCAAGCGUUAGCCGGAUUUACUGGGUGGAAAGGGAGCGUAGACGGCAGCACAAGUCUGGAGUGAAAUGCCGGGGCAUAACCCCGGAACUGCUUUGGAAACUGGGCAGCUAGAGUGCAGGAGAGGUAAGUGGAAUUCCUAGUGUAGAGGUGAAAUGCGUAGAUAUUAGGAGGAACACCAGUGGCGAAGGCGGCUUACUGGACUGUAACUGACGUUGAGGCUCGAAAGCGUGGGGAGCAAACAGGAUUAGAUACCCCAGUAGUC
rnacentral:rRNA from 1 species